rnacentral:misc_RNA from 1 species
UUGAUUAUGAACUGUUGCCUUUUGUGCUGGCUCCUCGCAUGUGCACAUUGGUGACUUUCAUCCACACACUUGUGAACCUUUGGCUUCUUGCUUGCCUUGGCUUGCAGAAGAUUUACACACACACACUUACAUGUAAUGAAAACCUGUUGGGUGCACUAGCACUAUUAUA